AAGUCGUAACAAGGUUUCCGUAGGUGAACCUGCGGAAGGAUCAUUAACACGUAUCCAAACGUUAACCCCCUGUGAACCUUCAAUGUGCUCGUACACUUUGUCUCGCCGAACAGUUUUGAUUCUGGGACUUCCUCAAAGAGUGUGCAUGUUGCGCGAGGCAAGUGGCCUGGCAUUCCCAAGCAGUUAAUGUCUGAAAGUGUCAUUUGCUGUGUAAGGAUGACGCAGUAACGAUCGUUGGAGGCCGACACGGCCGACGACCGGGUCACCGGGCGCAAGCCCCUUUAUCACCACUUGAUGCAUGACAGACGCGCCAGCGCUUAAUUGUGCGGCGACCAAAAACCGAACAACUGUUAACAAUGGAUAUCUUGGUUCUC
rnacentral:misc_RNA from 1 species